UACGUAGGGGGCAAGCGUUGUCCGGAAUCAUUGGGCGUAAAGAGCGUGUAGGCGGCCCGAUAAGUCCGCUGUGAAAGUCCAGGGCUCAACCCUGGAAUGCCAGUGGAAACUGUCGGGCUGGAGUCCGGAAGAGGCGAGUGGAAUUCCUGGUGUAGCGGUGAAAUGCGCAGAUAUCAGGAGGAACACCAAUGGCGAAGGCAGCUCGCUGGGACGGUACUGACGCUGAGGCGCGAAAGCGUGGGGAGCAAACAGG
rnacentral:rRNA from 1 species